rnacentral:rRNA from 1 species
UGGGGAAUAUUGGGCAAUGGGCGCAAGCCUGACCCAGCGACGCCGCGUGAGGGAAGAAGGCCUUUGGGUCGUAAACCUCUGUUGUAUGGGAAGAAGGAAGUGACGGUACCAUACGAGGAAGUCCCGGCUAACUACGUGCCAGCAGCCGCGGUAAUACGUAGGGGACGAGCGUUGUCCGGAAUUACUGGGCGUAAAGGGCGCGCAGGCGGAUAUUUAAGUCAGCUGUAAAAGGCAUGAGCUCAACUCAUGUAUGCGGUUGAAACUGGGUAUCUAGAGUGCUGGAGAGGUAGGCGGAAUUCCCGGUGUAGCGGUGAAAUGCGUAGAUAUCGGGAAGAACACCAGUGGCGAAGGCGGCUUACUGGCCAGCAACUGACGCUGAGGCGCGAAAGCCAGGGGAGCAAA